UAGCACAUACCCAUAGAAAUUACAGUUAUAGCAGCAUGGGAAAUCUGUAGCCAGAAUGAUGUGUUUUAUUCAGCAGUUCCAGAUUUUCUGGUUAAGAGAACUCAGAAAAAAGUCAGCCUUAAAAAAUAUGAAGAGAGAUCAUGAAGUAACAAUUUUGUCAUUGUUUGCUGUACACUUUCUCUGGCUCCCCAGAUGUCAAGCCCAGAGACUGAAGAUUUAGGAAUGUUGAGAUGAAAAAGAAGAUGGACUUAUUUUAUUUGAAGAUUCACUUUAGAACAGGGAGGCAACAUGUACGUGAUUCACAAGUUAAAUUUUGUGUAAGUAAACAUCUGAACUACAGAUGGUUUUAAAUUUUAUUAACAUCUUUGUUUUUAUUUCAUUUGCUACAUCAUUCCUAGUUCGCAU
rnacentral:lncRNA from 1 species